CAAGAUGACUUUAUCAGAUAAAUGAAGAAAAAUGAUUGUUGAUCUAAACUAACAAAUGAAUAUAACAUAUUUACUAGGAAAAUCUGAUUGGGAUCCUUGAACUUUACUCAUAGGUACUUCAAUAUUUUUGAUACAGAAAUGAGUCCCUGGAUUCCUCAGUUUAAUGCCUUAAGAGUCGGUCUUUUUGACCUACUUCCUUUGCAGACUCUGAACCACACAAAGGAUUUUCUCAAGAUUCUCCUAAAAGAUCGUAGCUUUCUUUGCCAUGUAGCCAGCCAUGGCCAGGUCUGGGGUAAGGAAAAUUGGAUUCAUUAUGACAGCGAUGACAAAUUAUCUUCUGCAAGAAUUGUUUAAUGCAAUGGGUCAAAGGAGAAGAACGAAACAAAAGAAUGACAUGGCAUGAAAAUGAAAAAAGAAUAAAACCACAUAUUUAAAAAGCAAAGAAACAGAAUAAAUUUUCAAAACUGAGUAGAAAGGAAAUGUAAACCUGUAGGUACAAUGAGGUUUUCUUGUCAUUAGAGGUUAUUACGAUCUCACUUCUUUUAUGAUCAUAUGUGGCCUA
rnacentral:lncRNA from 1 species